GAUGAACGCUGGCGGCGUGCCUAAUACAUGCCAGUCGAGCGAACGGACGAGAAGCUUGCUUCUCUGAUGUUAGCGGCGGACGGGUGAGUAACACGUGGAUAACCUACCUAUAAGACUGGGAUAACUUCGGGAAACCGGAGCUAAUACCGGAUAAUAUUUUGAACCGCAUGGUUCAAAAGUGAAAGACGGUCUUGCUGUCACUUAUAGAUGGAUCCGCGCUGCAUUAGCUAGUUGGUAAGGUAACGGCUUACCAAGGCAACGAUGCGUAGCCGACCUGAGAGGGUGAUCGGCCACACUGGAACUGAGACACGGUCCAGACUCCUACGGGAGGCAGCAGUAGGGAAUCUUCCGCAAUGGGCGAAAGCCUGACGGAGCAACGCCGCGUGAGUGAUGAAGGUCUUCGGAUCGUAAAACUCUGUUAUUAGGGAAGAACAUAUGUGUAAGUAACUGUGCACAUCUUGACGGUACCUAAUCAGAAAGCCACGGCUAACUACGUG
rnacentral:rRNA from 1 species